AGUUAAGGAGAGGCGAACUAAAAUAUUUAGUUUGACUUGUUGUGGUUUAAAAUUAAUAACGUUAUCUGACAAAAUUUAGUUAAUUUGAUAUAUUAGUUUAGUAAACAUAGGAACCUAUUUUAUGUGAGUUGUUUCAAGGAAACCUCACACACAAACGUCAGACCGGUAGGUGGCGAUAAAUAUCACAUAGCACCAGCUGAGAACCGCGAAAGUGCCUUAAGUAAAAGCAAAGAAGAGGUAGACACGAGAGGAACGCGCAUGUGCAUGUCCAAUCCAGUCAGUCUAGGUUGCGCGUGAGCAAAGGCAGAAAGAUGCUGGCUGUUCGACUGGAGCUCUGCAGGCGAGCACGUGGCUGGAGGUGAUAAAAGAUUGAGUUGAUAAAGGUUGAUUCUUACUUCAGUCCAAGUCAUUGUCUUCCAUAAGACAAUGUAAAAUAAUUAAAGAAUUUUCAGGCUGCCUCAGUAAUCUCUCAGCACACAGGACAUCCUGAGCACCUGGAAGUCUCGCGUGUCACGAUCCAUGGACAAGGUGUUGGAUUCAGGCGAAAAGAUUUAAGAUGCAGUUAUUGUGUAAUGGAUGCUACCGGUGUACAUGUUCUUCUGCUCUUAUGUCAACAUGUAAUUACUCAUUAUUAAAACAAGUAACUGAAAAGUGUAUUGUGUAAUGGAUUUUACAUUUAAUAAAAUACAUAACCAUUGAA